rnacentral:rRNA from 1 species
GCGUUGUUCGGAUUCAUUGGGCGUAAAGGGUGCGUAGGUGGCGGGGUAAGUCAGGUGUGAAAUUUCGGAGCUCAACUCCGAAACUGCAUUUGAUACUGCUUUGCUUGAGGACUGGAGAGGAGACUGGAAUUUACGGUGUAGCAGUGAAAUGCGUAGAGAUCGUAAGGAAGACCAGUGGCGAAGGCGAGUCACUGGACAGUUCCUGACACUGAGGCACGAAGGCGAG